GUGGGGAAUCUUGCGCAAUGGGCGAAAGCCUGACGCAGCCAUGCCGCGUGAAUGAUGAAGGUCUUAGGAUUGUAAAAUUCUUUCACCGGGGACGAUAAUGACGGUACCCGGAGAAGAAGCUCCGGCUAACUUCGUGCCAGCAGCCGCGGUAAUACGAAGGGGGCUAGCGUUGCUCGGAAUUACUGGGCGUAAAGGGCGCGUAGGCGGACAGCUUAGUCAGAGGUGAAAGCCCAGGGCUCAACCUUGGAAUUGCCUUUGAUACUGGCUGUCUUGAGUUUGUGAGAGGUGAGUGGAACUCCGAGUGUAGAGGUGAAAUUCGUAGAUAUUCGGAAGAACACCAGUGGCGAAGGCGACUCACUGGCCCAAUACUGACGCUGAGGCGCGAAAGCGUGGGGAGCAAACAGGAUUAGAAACCCUUGUAGUCC
rnacentral:rRNA from 1 species